GAAGCCUUUGCGUAAACCCGGAGGCUGCUGGGCGCUGGCCUGGAGGGCAGCACGGACUUUCGUGUUCUUUUAACCCCACAGUGAAAACGUCCCCUGGAUGUUUCAUCUGAUGAAAAGUGCCACCGUCCUUUUCCAGUCUCGGUCACAUUCUCUCAUUUCCUUGCCAAGGACUGGGUGGUACGUCGCCCCCAAAGCGUGAAUUGACGUUGAGGAGGAAGAACCCUGUAAACUUUCUUUGCGAUCAGAACUAGAGACUUCUAAAUUCAUCUGAGAUUUAUUCAAACUCCUGUCUUAUCCCAAGCACUUUUAUACCCCCGGAUGCAAAGCUGUUUUCCAGUCGGAUGAACCAAGACUAGUUACCAUAACAACUGUGGUUAUUACCACUGAGGUUAUGCAUGUAUUGAGAGAAGACUUCUGCUUAUCCCCCAAAGUCCUCUGGCUAGCCUCUGGACACAGAGGAUGUCUCGUUUACUUCUUCAUCAAGGGAUUCCACAGCAGGAGGAAGGGCUGAGAGGCGGGACCACACGGGAGGCAGGACCUGAAGCUGCACGGACACGGGCCCCCGGCGGCGGCGGGAACCACGUCCUCAGGCAAUGGGAGAAGCGUCGGGCCAGCUGGGGGAGAGCAGAGGCAGCACAGCACGUGCUUGGCCUGCCUGCUUUACUUCCCACGUCCGCAGAGAUGUGGACUUGUUCUUGCAGCCCCACCCGAAAAGUCACCCGAGGAACUAAUUGCCCAUAUCUUUAUCGAAUAAUUUGGGAAAAGCCACUCGGAAGAAAUGGAUUGUUUGGAGGGAGAAGGAAGAGAAUAUCACUGAAAAAUGGAGGUACAGCCAACAUGGACACGUCCAGGGAUUUUGGGAACCAAUGGGCCGACUAGUUUCAGUACACAAUAAAAUAAGGUAUUUUGAGUAACAUGGAAGAAGAUAAGUUUCCUUUAUAAUGUGUGCCAUAUAAAUAAUCAGGGAAGAAGGGGUUGGCAUAAGAUUUUUUUGCCUCCUCCAUCCUAAGGAAUAAAUAAUUUUUUUCUUAAAGAGGACCUAUCUUGGGCUUCCCUGGUGGCACAGCGGUUGAGAGUCCGCCUGCCGAUGCAGGGGACACGGGUUCAUGCCCCGGUCUGGGAAGAUCCCACAUGCCGCGGAGCGGCUGGGCCCGUGAGCCAUGGCCGCUGAGCCUGCGCGUCCGGAGCCUGUGCUCCGCAACGGGAGAGGCCACAACAGUGAGAGGCCCGCGUACCGCAAAAAAAAAAAAAAAAAAAAAAGAGGACCUAUCUUGCCUUAUUUCUUAACUUUUCCAUGAUUGUGAUUUCAUUAGUUCAUCUAGGUACAGAAUUUAAACAUCUAAUCAAGGUGGAAAGAAUUAUGCACUUUAAAGCAUUCAAAUACUCAAUUUGGUAUUAAAAAUAAACCAAAUGGCCUGGGAUUCAGAUGUUUUAAUAAGUUCCAAGGUAUUAUACUAUUAGCCAUCUGCUUAUCAGCAGACAAAUGAAAACGUGGGAAUAUGGACACAUCAAAUAUUCAUGGAAAUCAAAUAGAAAUACAUUCUUUAGAAAAAAAUCAUUGAUACUUCUAGAUGGGUUACACCAGGCAAAUCUUUAUUUUUGUCUUCAGGUUUGUGUCUGUUAAGGGGACACCACACGCUACUUACUUUGUUUUAGGUGUAACCUACGUGUGCUGACGGUUUUGACUGAUCUGUUCAAAAUACUGUCUAUUGUCCUUCUGUGGGAGCCACCAGGAGCAAGGGGG
ensembl:lncRNA